UUUUUAUCCGGGGCAGGAACUAGAAAAUAAGGGUGGUUUUCUGGGGAAAGUUGGAAUGUUUGGUGUGGUUUUCUCUGGGCGGAUGCAAACCUGGGGAGUUUUGGGGAUCCGAUUUGAGUCUUGCUCAGAUCUUGUGUGAGUUCUUUCCUCCCCUGCCAACACCUUCUCGAUGGCUUUUUCCUCUCGUAUGUAUCCCGAGCCUAAAUACCUAGUCGAGAGAAACAACAAGUCUGUGACGUCCCACCUAUUUUUGCGAAAACAGAACGUCCACUCUGCAGAAUGUGUCUGAUAUUUACAGAAUCUUUUUCUGCGACUGGAAAUCGCAUCUUUUUCUGCGAUCGAGAUCCUAAACACUCUAGCUAAGGAGAAACCCCUCACUGCGGGAUUAACUUCCAAGGAAACGUGUACAGGAUGGGCGCGCUGGGAGGCGGCCACGAUCCUUUUAGGAAACUAACGCUCCAGCCCAAACAGCAUAGCUGCAGCGGACGGAAGGGAGAACUGGGUGGUGGCGGUGGUCUCGCUUCCUCCAGAAUGAUGCUGAUUGUACAAUAAUUAUCUCUGUUCCUCCAUGAAACUAACCCGAGUGAUCUGGGGCGGGCAGCCUAACCUACCACAGGGAUGUUGUAAGAACAAAGGAUGGUAGCUCAUGUGAGCCGCCUUGGGCUCCUUGAAGGAAAGGCGGCAUAUAAAAAUAUUUGAUAAGUGGAAGGUGGGAGAAUUAUUAAUUAACAUGCAAUGUUAAUAUUUUGGAAAGAGCUAAUGAAGUCAUUCGGAUCAUUCCUAUUGCUUUCUUCUCCAUUUAGUAUCCGAAGUCAACUUUGGCGAAAUCAGAGCGGUGCUGUUGUUCCUUCCCUAUCUGGUUGCUAAGGUGCUGUAAUUCAGUUCCUCUUUAAAAGCAUCUUGCCUUUUGGGGGUUAUUUAUCGUCAGAAUCCCUCCUGUGCUUAAAGAACUCCAUUUAACUUAAAGAACUCCAGGCCUUAGGACUCCACACCUGUCAGCAGACAGAAACGCCGCGGAAACUGGCGCCAGUGAGGCUGCAAAGCAACAGGUUUUUCAAUGGAAACACACAAACCGAUUUGGAAACGGAGUCACUACGAAUACGAAUCUGGAGUAUGAUCCUUACCGCCACCAGCCGCCCCACAAACUCUUUAUACAUCAAAUAUUAUAUUUGAUUUUAAAACUCAAAUUACUGUUCUUUGUUUCUUUUAAAAUUGCUGUACCUCUUCUCCGGCAUCCUCCAGCCUCAACACGUUUACAUGUGAAUUAGUUUUACAUGUAUGAGAUUGAUUCGAUGAUGCUUUUAAAUGCCCGUGGCUUCUAAGAGAGCCCCAUUCGUGGCAACGGGUCUUCCUUCCAAGUAUCCCAUCUUGUUGGGAUAGACUGUGAAAAAUUUGGAUUCCCAGGAACACUUCUAAUUUAGUUAGGUGGAUUUUUUUUUUUUGUUUGUUUGUUUUGUCUUGGUGAACCGUGUGAGAGCCAAGUUCAUUGUCAAGCGGGCUUAGUUUUAUUCUUGGCGUGCGAGCUAUGAUGUGACUCUAUAUGGAGGGGUGGGGGCGGGUUCUUCUGCCCUUCCCAAAGGGCUGGAUGGUGAGAGAGAGAAAACACAAAUCUGAAAGAGGGGAAUUCCUUCCGGAUAGGUGAAGUCCUGAGCGAAGUAUGAAUCUGGAAAGGGUGCUGAGAUUAGAAGCAGCAGCUAAAAAGAUACAGAAGCAAAGAACGUUUGUUUAACCACCCCAGAAACCUAACAGUUACUAAGCGGACCAGUUUGCAAGCUGAUUCACACGUGCGUGGCCAUCACUCCUCACGGGUGAUCUGUGAAUCAGCCACAGCUGAAUCGCCGCAGAUACAACUUUCCUACUACCCUCUGUCAACGCAAUGGAGGCGAUUCACACAGUCAAGGAUGAGUUGCCCAGUCACUCUCGCCUGCAAAGUAAUUGCGCGUUACUCAUGCACGUGUGAACCAAUCCUUCUCCCAAUAUCUGUUCGGAUCUUUAAUUCUCUGUCACAGCAGUACAGUCUCUGAGGAGCCUAACCGUGAAUCUCCCUCGGGUUCAAAAUGAAGCUGGAGUUGGAUCCUUGGUUCACCUGGCUCAGGACUCCCUACACGGACUGGCAGCGGCUCUCCAAGGAGUCAGAACUGGUGGUUGCUGCCUCCGCUGAUGGCCUUGACCAUGAAACUGGAACCUUGAAUGCUUGACCUACAUUUCCAAGGGCAUCUGUUUCAGCCUAUCAUUGUCACCAUGCUUCAUUGGAAACCUGACCCUAUGGCUCUAAUAGUAUUAACAGAAGCUCUGACUUUGAGAAGGAAAAGUGGUGAGCCACCUUUGCCUGGAAGACCAACACGUUAAACUGAGAUAUGACCCUCACUCCCCGCUCCAAAGUCCAGUGGGCUCUGCCUAUGUCGUCCUCACUGCAUAUACUGGAGGGGACAAUCAAUUUGUGUCGGCAGAAAAUCUGCGAACUUGUAAACCACUUUGGGAACUUUUGUUGAAAAGCGGAAUAUAAACAUUUAUCAUCAUCAUCAUCAUCAUCAUCAUCAUCAUCAUCAUCAUCUGGACCACCUACUCCUACAAGAAGCUAUCUGCAUGUUGGAGUCAUCUUUUGGGAUCACCUUCCAGUCCUGCCCCUCUCAGAAGUUAGGGGGCCUGCGAAAGAGUGGAAUCCUAAAAGGGUCAGUCUAAACAGAGUCCAUGGAUGAGCCAGGCCCAGCAGAACGGCUUCAUUUUUAAUCGCUGCCGCCCUCCGAGAUGAGACUCCGGUUGCUCUUGGGAACUGCCACGCUCGGCCUAACCCGGGCAGGGAACCCUCCAGCUGUCCUUAAAAGGGGGGCAGGGGAGCAGCAGGGAACAUGUUCUUCCUUGUCUGUGAAAAGAGAGAAAAUUAAAAAGGGGAGUGCUUGAUGUUGGGAUGACCGGGUCUUUCCUUGUCGACAGGCUCUCUGCUCGGGUGGAGAAGACUAUCCCAGAAUCCCUGCUGCCAAGAAUUCCAGGGUGGGAGAAGACAUGUCCACAGGAUUAAGGCCUGCCCCCUGCACUCACACCCAUAUUAAUUCAUGUAUUUGAUUUAGAAUAUUUGUAUCCUGCCAAUUCAUUACAGCAAUUCCAGAGGCAGCGAACAAAUAUAGAAAAUCAACAUAGUUUCCUGCUCUGUCUGUGGCUAGUGAUGAUGUUUCCAUGAUGGUUUGUUUGUUUGUCACGUGCUCUUCCCCUCUGAUAGUGUUUGUAAAAU